rnacentral:rRNA from 1 species
GAUGAACGCUAGCGGCAGGCCUAACACAUGCAAGUCAGGGGUAACAUAGAAAAAGCUUGCUUUUCUGAUGACGACCGGCGCACGGGUGCGUAACGCGUAUACAACCUACCUUUUAGCGGGGAAUAGCCCAGGGAAACUUGGAUUAAUGCCCCAUAGUAUAUAGACUUCUCCUGAAGUUUAUAUUAAACAUUUAUGGCUAUUAGAUGGGUAUGCGUCCUAUUAGUUAGUUGGUAAGGUAACGGCUUACCAAGGCAGCGAUAGGUAGGGGUCCUGAGAGGGAGAUCCCCACACUGGUACUGAGACACGGACCAGACUCCUACGGGAGGCAGCAGUGAGGAAUAUUGGACAAGUGGGCGAGAGCCUGAUCCAGCCAUGCCGCGUGCAGGAAGACUCGCCCUAGUGGGUUAGUAAACUGUCUUUUACAGAGGAAGAACCACCCUCACGUGUGGGGGUUUGACGGUACUCUGCGAAUAAGGAUCGGCUAACUCCGUG